rnacentral:lncRNA from 1 species
AUGUCAUUCGGUAGGGACCUGACUCGGGACAUAGUAGAGUUGCUGAUCCUAGGGGCACAGGAGAACGAGGAAAUAACGGGGCACAAGGGUCAGAUGUGGAAUCCGUGGGUAUGGAGGCCAAUAUACCAGGACAUAUUCCCAAUCCAGUGGAGGAACCGGGAGCAUCAUGAACAUGGACACCUCUAUGCCUAUGUUUACAUAGUCCUACAGAUCUCUGCACCAAAACGCCUUUGUCAUGUUCUGCCCUCCAAAACUGCACUGUAGAAGAAGUAUAAAACGUAAAGUACGAUGUCCAAGCCAAGAGCCAACAGGCUUCUCCACCAGAGGAUGGCUCAGUGCCAUCUCUCUUGGGACGCGUCCUUUGGCAUAUGCAGGCACAGUCCACAGCUGCCACCUCUGUACGGCCAUGAAGGAGC